UAUAAUACCUCGCUUCCAGCGGCACGUUCUGCUGCAUCCCCGAUAGGAUAACACCAGCAGAGUAGGCGAAAUCCGAGCUCGACAAUGGCGGGAUCGAUGGCUUCGGCCCUAUGUAUCUUCUUCAAAGUACACGGAAGCUGUCAUAAAGGUCAUCUCUUAUUUCCCACUUCUUCUCCUUCUUCUUCAUUCUCUUUGCCCUCACUUCGAUUCUCCACUUGGGGAACCCACCGUUCCCCUUGCUCUCCCUCCGCUUCCACCAAACCUUUGAUUCCGAAAGGCCCCGUGUUUAGCGAAGGGAGGGACGAAGAUGAGCGACGCCUGGUCUGCCCCGGAUGCGGUAUCUUCAUGCAGGACGCCAACCCCAAUCUUCCCGGCUAUUAUCGCAAGAAGGUCCCUACCCUCCGAGAGGAUGAGUUUGAUGACCUCUCCUACGAUUCAGAUGACUUUGUGGAGGGAGAGAUCGGAGGGUUGUCGUCAAAUUUGGACCUUGAAUUCGAAAGUGAUGACCUUUCUGAUGCGGAUUUGAUGGAAGGAGCGACGGAAGGUGACGAACUGGAUACGGGGAUCGAUUGGGAGUCUGACUGGGAUAUGAAGUUAGACGACGAAGAGGAGAAUUUAAGGAAGGAGUUGGACGGGUUCGCCCCAGCGGGCGUUGGCUACGGGAACAUUACAGAGGAGACGCUGGCGAAGUUCAAAAAGGAGAAGAUUUCCAAGUCGGAGAAGAAACGGAAGACUAGAGAGGCUAGAAAAAGAGAAACGGAGGAGGAUUCCGUCACAGUGUGCGCUCGUUGCCACUCUUUGAGAAACUAUGGCCAAGUGAAGAACGAGAAGGCGGAGAACUUGAUCCCUGACUUCGAUUUUGACCGACUGGUCGCGAGCCGCUUGAUGAGACCUGCAACAAGUGCCCCCGUGGUGGUUAUGGUGGUCGACUGUGUGGACUUUGAUGGUUCCUUCCCUAAAAGGUCAGUGAAAUCCUUGUUCAAAGUAUUGGAAGGAAGCAAAAAUGAGCACAAGAUAUCCAAAUUGCCCAAGCUUGUGCUCGUUGCAACCAAGGUGGACCUUCUUCCUUCACAAGUAUCGCCGACAAGGUUGGAUAGGUGGGUUCGGAACAGGGCCAAGGCUGCAGGGGCUCCUAAGCUUAAUGCAGUUUAUCUGGUGAGCGCUCGAAAAGAUCUUGGAGUGAGGAACUUGAUAUCCUACAUCAAGCAACUUGCAGGACCCCGUGGGAAUGUGUGGGUGAUUGGGGCUCAGAAUGCUGGGAAAUCCACUCUGAUAAAUGCGUUUGCUAAGCGAGAAGGUGUGAAGACUACAAGGCUUACCGAGGCUGCUGUUCCAGGGACUACAUUAGGCAUUCUGAGAAUUCCAAGCAUCUUGCCCUCAAAAGCAAAGAUGUAUGAUACUCCAGGUCUUUUGCACCCAUACCUAAUGUCAAUGAGAUUGACUCGGGAAGAGCAAAAGAUGGUCGAGAUCAGGAAGGAGCUACAGCUUCGAACCUUUAGGAUGAAGGAGACACACUUGCUGGCAUGAGAGGAAAACGACCAAGUUGUGAAUAGGCUUGAACUAUAGAGAUUAACACAGAUAGGAGCAGCAGACAUCUACAUGUUGGGCAGACUGUUCAUGUUGGUGGUCUGAUGAGGCUCGAUUUGACCCAGGCCUCUGUGGAGACGAUCUACGUUUCUGUUUUGGCAUCACCUAAUGUCUCCCUUCAUAUGGGGAAGACGGAAAAUGCUGAUGAGCUAAGAACAAAUCAUUUUGGCAUAAGGCUCCAGGUGAGUUUUUCUGAUAUCUAGAUUUUGUUACAAUAAAUCUUCUGUGUGCUGCUACUACUACUAUGUCCUUGUGCAUCCAAACAUUGUCUUUCUUCAAAUUUUAAAUAGCAGGCAAAAACACUUUGCAUCCAUAGUUUACAAACUCGUCAUUUAGCCAUUUAAAGAAAUGAAGGUAUCAGGAACCAGUUGGGAUGUGAACAGCAUAGACAUUGCAGCAUCUGGCCUUGGAUGGUAUUCACUGGGGCUGAAAGGGAACGCAACUGUGGUGCUGUGGACUUUUAACGGUAUCGAAGUAACGCAGAGAGAGCCAUUGGUUCUCGAUAGAGCUCCCUUUCUGGAAAGGCCCGGAUUCUUGUUACCAAAGGCAAUAUCUGAUGCAAUUGGAAACCAGAGCAAGAUGCAGGCGGAGAAAAAGAAGGAAAAAGAUUUUCUUCUAAAUGCUAGCGUCUGACUUUAUUUGUGAUUGUGUUCCUGUGGCUUCCUUCAUUAUCUUUCAGCAUUCUUCCAUUAUGGAAAUCCUCUUACAACAAUGAUGGUGCACAGAAGAGAACAAUAACGUUGAACUA